rnacentral:sRNA from 1 species
UAUAAAAAUGUAUAUUUUAUUGGGCUCAUGAGAUGGUCCCCCAGGUAAAUGGUAAAGGCACUUGCGGCGUAAGCCUGACAACCAGAGUUCCAUCCCCAGCACCUGUGUGACAAUGGAGGGAGAAAAUUGACUCUCCAAAGUUACCUUCUGACCACCACACACACCAUGGCUCCUACGCAGACGUACAGAGCUUUGUCAUCACCAUCAUUGUAGUCCACAUCAUCGCCAUUGUCAUCUUCAUUACACCAUCAUCCUCAUGCCCAUCAUCAUCGUUUUAAAUCUCUAUUUUUUUUAUUAAUGUUCAAAAAUACAUGUUUUCUAAUGGUAUUUUUCUUACAUAGUUGUGGUUGUUUCUGCUCUGAACAUCUACUUACCCCCAUCUCCUACCCCUUGCCCCUCGCCCCUCGCUCUCACGCCACCCCCACCCCGCCUUCUCUCAUUAGUAUUUUCCUUCCCACUUCAUAUUGCAUGAGUUCCAUCAUCCCCGUUUCCUUAAAGGCUCCCGCUUCCACACUUAGGAGCUCCUAGCUGCACAUCCUCCACCACACACUCACCCACACAGAAAUACACACACAUAAAAGGUCAAAACCGGGACCCGUAUAUAAGAGAGAACAUGUGUUAAUUGUCUUACUGAAACCGGGGCACUCAUUUAAUAUAUUGUUCCCUUCUAGCCAUUUCCCUGAGAAACGCAGUCAUCCCUACAGCUGCAUGGAUCCACUGUUGUAUGUAUUCUAUGUGCCAUGUUUUUACUACCCAUCUGUUCAUUGAUGGACAGCCGAUUCUAUUUCCUUGCUAUUGGAAAGGAUGUAAUCAUGGAUGUACAUUUUUAUGUCAGGCUACAGAACACUUUGAGUAAAUGCCCAAGCAUGCGAAAGGCAGAUCAUACACUAGCCUUAGUUUAGUUUUCUGGAGAAAACUCCACACUGAUUUUUACAGUGGCUGCACCAAUUUGUAUUCCUACCACCAGUGAAGAAAUUUCCCUUUCCCUCCACAUCCUUGCCAACAUUUUCUGUCUUUUUUGUCUUGAUAGCGGCCAUUAUGAUUGAAAUGAGACGAAUCACAAGUAGAUUUAAUUGGAUUUUUUUUUUCUGGUGGCUAAGAAUACUUGGCACUUGAAAAAAAAUACUGACCAUUUGUAUUUCUUCUUUUGAGAAAUGUCUAUUUCAUUCACUGACCAAUACAUUGCUUGGCAAUUUGGGUUUUCUUGGGGUUAAACUUGAGUAUUUGUAUUCCGGAUGUAGCAGUUUGAGAGAGAAUGAGCCUCAUAGGUCACUAUCUUUGAAUGUUUAGUUUCCAGUUGAUGGGUUGUUUAGAAAAGAUUAGAUGGGUGGCCUUUUGGUGGAGGUAGGACAAUUGAGGGUGGGCUUUGAGAAUUCAAAAAUUCACACCAAACCCAGCCUCACACACUCUCUGUCUGCCUCUGUCUUGCCAUUUAGAUGUAAGUUCUCACCUAAAUGCUCCACCCCCAUGCCUGCCUAUCACAAUGCUUCCCACCGUGGUCAUGGACUCACCCUCUGAAAUUGACCCUUGGGAUUUUGUGAGUGCUAGAGGAGUCUGAGCCUGCAAAUAAGUGGAUGUUGCAUUAGUCUGACCUUCGUUCGUAAGAAAACAAUUGAAACAGGAUAAUUUAUAAAGGAAAGAGGUUAAUUUGACUCCCAGUGAUAGAAGUCCCAGUGCCCACACCUGGUCAUAUAACAUAUUUCUGUCAUAAAAUCUUUUAGUUUUUAAUAUAUUUUUCAUUACUUAUGUGUA